UUGUAAUAUAUAGGAAACUAAUUGAUUCUUACAUUUUGCUUUUAUAUAUUGUAAUUUUUUCAAAUUUAUUCAUUAUUUCUAGCAUUUUUUUCCCAGAAUCUUCAGAGUUUUCUACAUAUUAGAUCGUAUAAGUUGUAAACAGAUAGUUUUGCUUUCUUUUUCUGUUGGGGUACCUUUUAUCUAUUUCUGCCUAUGCAUUCUUUUUAUUUUAAUUUUUCUUGGCAAGAGAGGUAAUCAGGUUUAUUUAUUUACUUAUUUUUAGAGGCAGUACUGGGGAUUUAAUACAGGGCCUCGUGCAUGCUAAGCAUGUGUUCUACUGCUUGAGCAAUACCUUUACCCCCACCCCCCUGACUCCGACUAUGCAUUCUUUCCUGAACUACUUUUUUUUUUUUCUAGGAACUCUAGUAAUAAAUUUUUAGAAAUAGUGAGAAAAGGUAUCCGUGUCUUGUUCCUGGUCUUAGAAGAAAGGCUUUCAGUGUUUUACUAUUGAGUAUGAUGUUAGCUGUGGGCUGUUGACAUAUGUCCUUUAUUGUUUAGAGCUAGUUUUUUUCUAUUCAUGUUUUAUUGUUUUUUUUUUUUUUAUCAUGAAAGGCUAUUGUCUUUUGUUGAAUGCUUUCUCUGUGUCACAUGAGAUGAUCAUGGAAGUUUUUACUUUCAUUCUGUUAGUGUGUUGUUUUACUUUGAAGGAUUUUCACAUGUGGAAGGAUCCUUGCAUUUCACAUAUUCUCCUUAGGCAAAGUGUAUAAUCUUUUUAAUGUGAUGUUGAUUUUAGUUUACUAUUUUAUUGAUGAUUUCUGCCUCAUUAUUCAUUAGAAGUUUUAGCCUGUGGUUUUCUUGUACUGUCUUUGACUUUGGUAUUAGAAUAAAUCUGGGUUCAUAGAGGUAGUUGAGAACUGUCCCCUUUUGUUCAGUAGUUUGGGGACAAGUUUAAGGAAGGUUGGUCUUAAUUGUUUUUAAACUUUGGGUAGAAUUCUGCAGUGAAGGUCUCUGGCUUUCCCUUGUUGAGUGGUUUUUGAAUAGUGAUUCAGUCGCCUUACAAGUUACAGGAUUUUUUGGACUUUUAAUUUCUUCAUGAUUCUCUCAUGGUGGGUUCUGUUUCUAUAGGAAGUUACCCAUUUUUUCUAGGUUAUCCUAUAUUUAUUUUAUUUUUUAAUUAAUUAAUUAAUAUUGUUUUUAAACCUUGCAUAGAAUUCUGCAAUGAAGCUCUCUGGUUCUCCUUUGUUGAAUGGUUUCUGAAUAGUGAUUCAGUCUCCUUACAAGUUACAUGUUCUGAUUUUUAAUUUCUUCAUGAUUCUGUGUUGGUAGGUUCUGUUUCCAUAGGAAUUUAUCUGUUUCUUCUAGGUUAUAUCCUAUAUUUAGACAUAGAAUUAUCUGGGUAUUUUUUCUAAAUUAAAAAGAAUUCUGUAAAACUAGUUGUAAUCUGUUAUAAUGUUAUGUUUUUCUUAUUCGGUAAUUGAGUCUUCUCCCCUUUUUUGUUAAUCUAGAUGAGGAAUUGUCAAUUUUCUUGUCCUUUUCAAAGAAGCAUUUUGUACUUUUGUCAUUUUCUGUAGUUUUAUUCUCCAUUUCAUUUGUCUCUAGUCUAAUCAUUUUUCCUACUUCUAGCUUAGGUGUAUUUUGUUCUAAGAUACUUUUACCUUGUUUUUUUUUUUUUUAAAGAAUUUUUUAUUCACAAUGUAAAUUCAGAAGGUAAUUCAUCAAAGAUGUGGGCUAGAAAAGGUAUUUUAAAGAAUAAUGCAGUUCUCAUCAAAAGAAAAAAUGUUUUCUCCUAUUUUGCCCUCUUUAUCAGUAUGAAAUUACGGAUGCUAACUAAAUUCAUUGUGGUAUUGUUCCAUAUGCUGUAAACCUGGAACUUACAUAGUGAUGUAUAUCAGUGUAUACAGAGUUGUGUAAACAACUCUUAAAUGCUACUACGUAAAGAAUUGGUUUUAAAAAGGAAAUAAUUAAAACACGUUGGACAAAAGAAAGAAUAAUGCCAUUUAUAGCAGUUAAAGAACUGCAUUGCUUUUUUCAAGGCAAUGGUUAAUGACCUAAAUUGUCAGAUGCCUUAGUCCUCCAGUCUCAGAUCCCAGGUUCUGUCCCUGAGAUUGUGAAACUGAGCAGUGUGUUCAGUUUGCCCUUCUGCGUGAAUGAAUCAGAAAAGCUGUUCUGUAGGGUGUCAGUAUAUAUCCCAUUUUACCCAGGGAGAGUUUUGUAUUUGUUUUUUGCAUUAGUAACACAGAGACUAGUCCAGUUCUUAUUUAUUUUAAAACUGCUUAAAUUAAUUCCAAUUUUGAAAAUGUUCCUGGAUCCUACCAACGCCCCAUGUCAACCCCUCUCUUUCCCGUCUGGGAGCCCCAAGUUCCGGGACCUCUGGAUUGCUUAUCCCUGGGCAGCAGAUCAUGAGCGCUAACUGCUGGCAAAACAGCUUUUUAUUUAAACCUUUUUUUUUUUCUUAACAUUUCUUUAUUGACUUAUAGUCAUUUUACAAUGUUGUGUCAAAUUCCAGUGUAGAGCACAAUUUUUCAGUUAUACGUGAACAUACAUAUAUUCAUUGUCAUGUUUUUUUUUUCUCUCUGUGAGCUUAUUUUUAAACCUUUUUUAUCUGAGGAUAAAACAUCUUGGCAUCUGACAUAACUGGUCCACAUCAGUGUAAACUUUUACCUAAAGUCUCUUCCAGACAGUAACUUAAAACAAUUGCUUCAAGGUAUGGGAUAGUAUCUCCCCUCCUGCUGCGCGACUCUGGGAACAGGCCUCGCUGCCUCGCUGCCCCUCCGCCCCCGCCCUCGGCCGCUAGCGCUCCGCCCAGGCCACGCCCUCUCCGUUAUUUAUUCGCUGGGGCCCCGCCUCCGGAAGUCCCGCCUCUUACUCUACCCUCAAGAGUUUCUCCCGGAACCGGAAGCGGAGAGCGGCGUGGAGGUCACGCAACAGAGCGAAGUUUCUGUUUUCUGGUGUUCUGUGCCGCAUCAUCCCGCUCAUUUAGUCCUCAGGGUGUGGAGUUGCUACGGACCUAAGGCCUCGGCACUUGGGUCUUCGGCCCCACGUAAGUCCGGACGGCGUUGCUCUACUUCGGUUAUCAUUUUCCUUUGGGUUUGAAUUUCCUGAGAGUGGUCCAUGCCCUUGGCUUUUCUACCUUCAGUCACGGAGACACCGCCUUUCUGCCGUUUUCCUGCUUGAAACGCUUUACUACCGCCGCCCCCCCAGUCCCCCAAUCCCUUUCCCCAUGUAACGUCGCCUUCCGCGAGGCGGAUUUGCCCCUCCCCCCCGCCCCCAACCUCGCUGUCUCGGCCCCUGGAGGGCAGCGCCUGCGGCCUCGCUCUCGUGAGGCCGCGUCCUCUCCCCGGGUCCCAGGAUUCUCGGGAGCCCGGCCCUUUCCUGAGACCCCCUGCCUGCCAGCCCGUGUCCUCGCGUCCUUUUCAGGCCUUUCUACGUAGUCAGCCCUUCCCCCACCCCGGGAAGUUAGAGGUGACCAUCCCUAGCCUUGUUUUUACGUCCCAAAUUGCACCCUGGUGGAAAAUGGUGUCUUCGGUAGGCGGCCAUCUCAUUCAGUCGCUAUCUUUCUAAAUACGUGGGUCGAGAGGACCAGGAAAAGCAGGUGAGGGGUGUGAGAGAAAAAUAGAAACACUGAUAAGGAGAAAAGAACGAGGGAGGACCGUUGGGGACGUAGAGGAUGGUUGAGGCACUUGUAGAGAGACAAAAGAGACAGUAAGAGGAAAGAAAUUAAACCUUGAAAGUAACAGGUGAAUUAAAUAGAGGUACAUUAAAAAGCCCAUCUCCAGGUGUUGGAGAUCGUCGUAGGGAGAGUGGCUCAGGAUCAGCGGUAGAAGGGACCGCAACGGUGGUGAGGCUCUUCACACGGAGAGUAGGGGGAGAGGAUGAAACAGGUGGAACCAUGACCCUCAGCGUCGUGGUGCUGGGAGAGAAAGGAAAACUAGUAACUGGAGAAGCAGAGGAAGAGAGAGCAGGAAGUAUAGCUACCAGGGAGUACCAGAGAGUGGGCCUAAGGGACUGUAAGUGGGGUAUUAAAGGUGUAACCAGAGGCCAGAGAGGAAGCAGAGAUGGAGGAAGAAGGAGACAGAAAUAUAUGGAGAUUUAGGGCAAUCAGAAAGGUUAGAGAGGAGGCACUGCUUUGGGAAAGAUCCCUGGUGUUCUCAUUUAUUUCAAGUGGUAAAUCCAUCCUUCUCCCGAGGAAAAAAAAAGAUUGGAGAUAAAGAGCAACAAGUGGGAAAGAGAGUUGCAGAGUGGGGCAGGACAGGAGUGAGGGAAGACAUAGGAGGGGAGAGAGAGCAGAAGAGUGGGGAACAAAAAGACAAAAGAGGGAAACAAACAGAAUGAAAGGAAACGGUAGUGCAGAUACAGGAGAAAACUGGAUUCACCUGGAGGUGAGCUGUUUCGAUGGGACGAUUAAAUCAUGAAAAAUGAUUGGCGGCCAUAGAAUUUUAAAUUUUGUUUGAAUUAUACAGAUGAGGCUGGAGUUAUGAAACGUUCUGUAAGGCCUGUGCAUUUUCUAAUUACUUGUACUGGAAGAUAGCUUCCAUUUGCAGCCCCUGUCCAGCCUGGGGAGCAGUGGCAUGAAUCAGGCAGUUAUGAAUUACCCUCUUCCCUUUUCCUAACGAUGGAAGGAGGUCAGGGGAGGACACGUGGGGCAAGAAAUGACUGUCCCUACGUGGUACUUUUUUAAAGGAACUUUGAAAGUGGUGUAUUUUGUAAUGUAUUUACUUUUUUGUUUCUUUACAUACUCUUUUGUAGCUUGGAAUGACUUAAGUUCAUUAAGUUUCUACUUUCCAAUAAAUUUUUAACUUCUGAAACCAUCUUUGGUGGCCUCUAAUUUUCUACUCAUGUCAUUCUUUUCUAAAUUCUUUUCUAUCCUCAUUUUUUUUCCCAAAAUGUUGACACCAAAGUUUUGGGUUAAAAGUAAUUCACAUAUUAUUUCUUUUUAAAAUUUGUCUCAGAUUUAUUCCAAGCCUGAGUACUUUAUUCUCUUUAUUUUAUGUAUUGGAAAAUUUCUUUGGUAAGUAGUACGUAAUUUUAGACUGUUGUGAGGAAUGCUUGUCAGAGAUGUCACGUGGCUAGUUAGUUGCUCAAAGUAAGAGCCAUAAGAUGGAGUAAGUCCUAAAAAGCCCAGCAGAACUGGUGUCCUCAUGCAGUGUCCUGAGGUGUCCCCAUGUUAAGUGUGCUGUGUCACUGCUGUGCUGUAGCCCCCAGGUCUUCCAGGCUGUGCACAUCCAGGGACCUGUUCCCACCUUGUUGGGAGCUUUGCCUUCCAUCAGUGCUUCUGCUCAGAGUCAGGGAUAGUGAUCUCACUGUGCUGAGGGUGAGUAGAAGUCUGGAGCCUAAGGGGGCAUGAUGGUGGCCUCCCUCAAAGAGCUAAAGUAUCUUUUAAUUACCUGUGAGUGGGGAGAACAGGAGACAAGAAAUCUGGGGACCGUCUGUCUCCAAGACUUCCUUGCUGGUCUCAAAUGCCUUUGUGACUGGUCUCCAUCAGUUCCCCAGCUGCUAGUAAGUUUUCCCAGGAGGGCCUGCUUCCUGACCGUCAUACUCAAUGUCCAGUGUCCUUUGGGUGGCAGCUUGUGUGUGUUCCUGUUGUGAUGCCUUUGCUGAGAGGUCCUUUCCCUUUUAGCCCUGUUCCCCACGCGUGCGUGGAGGAGAGGCGGAGAAAUGGGGAAAGUGGAGGGGAGCCUGUGGGGUCUGCAGGAGGGACCUGGCAGCCAGUGUGGGCGUCAGGAUGAGCCCCAUGAGCGGUGUGUGCGCCUGUCCUAAGUGGAGUUGUGGGAUCAAGGACUGUGUGAAUCUGUUUGAAAGGGAUGUCUCAUUCAGGCUGCAGGACCAGGAUGUGGCUUUGUUCGUAUUUGCAGCCUGCAUGGAACGGUGUCAGGUACCAUGGUGUCUUAGCACAGUUCCGUGGGAUGGAUACUGAGACUGGGUUUUGCAUGCAUGGGCUUAAUUGGGAAACUCACAUCACACGUGAGGAGAAGUGAUGGCAGUGGAACGGCACAGAGAAACCGUUUCCUUCAGUGGUGUUAGAACCGAGGCCUGAGCUGAGCCCACGGAACUGUGGGUGUAGGAGGAUGGGUGCCUUGUCCUGAGGGGCUGGAUUUAGAAGGUGCCCCCCAGCAUUCACUCCAGUCCGUGACUUGUAGGGGUCUUUUGGGAGGGCGAGAAUCAUCAUGCAAGCCAUAGAGUAAUUAGAGGGAAAAUCGCAGAGAUAAUUUUAUCAGAUACCUUUGAUAUCUUUGAGUAUUUUGGGUUCCUAGUGAAGAAGGUUUCAGAUGCACUUGGAAAGAUGCAGAAGACUGACAUGUUUCCUUGGAAGCUUUGGGGUCACACUGGGUCACGCGUGUCAUUGGAAAUAUCCCUCUUAUCAGUCGUGUUGGAGAUGACAGUGCUUGGUCAGGGUCACUGUCAGUGAACGUAUUGUCUUGUGGUUAGUGACUCCGUGGGUGUCUUAAGUACAUUUCCCUCAUGACACGAGUUACUGCAGUUUGGAGUGUUUCCUGUCAUUGUAUAGCAGGAUGGGCAGUUAGCUUGGGUCCUGUGGGGACUGUGUUGUGCUCUGGGAGAGUCUGAGUUUGUUUGACUACAGAAGGGAAAUUAUGUGUCGUCAGCUGAAAAUUGCAGAAUGUUUUCAGUAGGGUGGGCCUGCUAGGUAUGUGCCUAUGGGCCCAAGGUGAGAGGGGCCAUAAAAUUCUGUGACGUAGGGAAGGAUUAUUCCAGGAAUCAGAGGGCAGCAACACCACAGCGAUCAGCGGUCCAGAGGCUCAUCCUUCACAAGACGUAGCUGCAACUUUCUUGCUACCAGGAUUGACCUCUAAAGACUCACCUUUCCUGAAGGAAAAGUCCAGAAGAGGAGGAAGAGGAAAAAAAGAAGUCAGAAAUGGAUCCUUCUCAGGGGCUGUUGACCUUUGCGGACGUGGCCAUCGAGUUCUCCCAGGAGGAGUGGGAGUGCCUGGACGCUGCUCAGAGGGCCUUGUACAGGGACGUGAUGUUGGAGACCUGCAGGAGCCUGCUCUCCCUGGGUGAAGGAACUUAGGACCAGGAAAAAAAAAAAUCCCAUCCAAGGAAGUGGCUGAAUCCGGCUUUGGUCCACGUCAUCUGGCUGCAGAGAGAACUUAGGCACGUGGCUACACUAACAAGGCACGUUCUCCACGCCCUUCAGCCACUCGUGUCUGUAGUUAACUUCAUGAGCGUCUUCUCCAUUUGUAGCUGACUUGCUGUCAUGUGUAACUGUGGUCACGGCAGCUUCCUGUAGCAGCCAUCCAGGGACACCUUUUUACUGCUCUUCGCUUUACUGUGUUUCACGGGUCCCGCGGUUUUACCCGCUGACGGUUUGUGGCAACCCACCGUGAAGUAAGUAUUUGGCGCCAUUUCUCCAACAGUGCUCGGUCAGUUCGUGUCUCUGUCUCAUUUUGGUAGUUCUCGCGCUGUUCCAGACUUUUCCAUCGUUGUUGUAUUUGUCGCUGUGCUGUGUUACCAGCGAUGGUUGAGUGUGCCUGCUGUGACUCACUGAAGGCUCACACGAUGGCUGGCCUUUUUAGCAGUAAGCUGGUUUUGUCUGUCUGCCUCUGCAGGCAGUGAAGGGGACGCACCUGCUUGGGUGGUGGCUGCCCUGCCAGCAGUGGAGGGGCCUGUGGAUGGGCCUUACUUGAUCUUUUUCCUGGGCCCCUGUUGUUGGUGUGGCCACAGUAAUUCUUACGCCAUCUGACAGGACGCGGUGCCGGGAAGCAGCACCCCUGGGGCAGGUCAUGUCGUCCCAGUUGUGUUUCUGGGGGAGCUGCCCCGCAGACAGAAGAACCGAGUGCAGGGGGCACGACCAUCCUCCAGCUCUUUGCCCACAAAAAGCAGAUGCAGCUGGGCAGGUGGGACGCCCUCAGGGUCUUCAGUUCAUAGUCUGAAGAGUAGCGUAAACGGGGGUAGGGUAGAGUGAGUGCUUAGCAUGCAUGAGGUCCUGGAUUCAAUCCCUGAUAACUCCAAGUAAAUAAGUGAAUAAAUAACUCCCCAAACUAAAACAAUUUUUUAAAGUAGUAUCAGCAUAAGUUGUCUGUGCCCUGUGGUCCAGUGAUAACUGCUUUGCUGUGGGGUCUGGCAAUGAGCCCACGAUACUGCCAGGGUUUACCUGUGUUUCACUUCGUAGGCCAGUAUUGCCAGGGACUGAGUAUUUAAAUAAUAUGUAGGUGCGCUAAUCAUCAAAUAAUUCAAGGAAAGGGAUUACUGAACAUGACGUAUUCAUUGAGGCAAGAGCGGUUCACUGCUACGAUGCCCUUCGGCCAGGAGCAAGUGUAAAGUGAUACCAACUAGGGAAGUAGCUGCACAAGGCUGUGGGCACUGAGGUUUAAAAGGAAAACAUGAGCCAGAGGUUUUAGGGUAGAGGUAACUUGUUAUUGAUUAGAAAUCGGUGGGGAGGCUCCAGCUCCGUGUUAGAGCGCGUGCUUAUUAGCACGCAGGAGGUCCUGGGUUCAGUUCCCAGUACCUCUGUAAAUGAAUGAAUCAAUCAAUCAAUCUUAAUUUCUCCCGCCAAGAAAAAAAAAUCACGUCCUUAAAGUAUUAUUUGAGGACUAUUGAGAGAAAGUAUUAGAUAUAAUGUAAUAAUUUUUUAUAAUGCAAUAAUUUUUGAAAAAGAAUAUGUAAAAUUGCAUCAAAAUCUUUGGGAACGUGUACGUAAGUUGAAACUGUAGGUGUGUUGUGAGUCUAGGGUAACACUGCAUGAAAAAAGUGUAUUGAUACAAUUUGAGUACCAUUACACCGUUUUAAGUAUGGAAUCCAGUGACUUUUUUUUUAGUGGAUUUACGAAGUUGUGAAGCCAUUCACACAGUCUAGUUUUAGAAUAUUUCUAAUGAGCCCCCACCAAAAAUAUUUUCAUUCAAAACAGAAAAAACUCCACGUGAUCUACUUGAAAGGUGGAAACUGGUGAAGUUAGUUCUUUCCUGGUCUCAACCCCGCCCUGGUAUGAAGCCCACUUUGAUGGCAUUAACUUCAAAACAGCUCCUUUAAAUUCGGAAGGGAAGCUGCUCACACCAUAGUCAACAGACCAUCAGUAUUUCUGUCUAGAUACCAUUACUCUCCGUUAAGUACAUCAGAUGUCCAGCAUUAAAGAGAGACCUUUCCUUCCCAUUUUCACCAAGAAUUUAGACUACUUCCCUAUUAAUUUUAGAAUCAUCUUGCUUGUAUUUACAAAAUCUUGAUUGGAAACGUAUCAAACGUGUCAGUCAGUUUGGGGUGACCUGCCAUUGUUUGUGUUGUGUCUGCCAGUCAGUGAACAUGGUGUUUUCCAGAGAUGACCUAAAUGAAAGGCCAUCUUUGAUUUCUUUCGUUAUUUUGUAGUUUUCACCAAAAAAGUCCAUGUUUUGUUAAGCUUACUCAUUUGUCUACUUUUAAUUUUUUUGAGCAUUCAAACAUGGUAUUAUAUUUUCAAUUUCCAUGUAAAUUGCUAGUGUAUGAAGUUGAAAUAGAUUUUUGUAUUUUGUUCUUGUAUCCUAGACCUUGCAAAUAAUAGUCUUCUAGAAAUGCCCGUGAAUUCUUUUGCCUUUCUCCAUGUGCCUUUCUCCAUGUGCCAUUUCAGUAAAUGUCCUGUUUCCACUGUACCAAAUUCCCGCGAACUGAGCGGCUCUGAGCAGCACUGUUCUCUUGUAGUUUCGGAGGCCAGAGUGUGAAGGGGCCCCGCAGCCCUGGGCCGCCUCUGGGCGCGCCAGGCCUGAAUAUGCCUCCUUGUCUGUUCUGGGGCCUGGAGGUUACGACAGCCUUUGCCUCGCCGUCUCCUUUCUCGACCAUCGAAAGCAGCAAGGUAGCCCCUUAAUAUCUCUUCGCCGCUGUCUGUGUGUUUCCAUCAGACCACCAACUUCUCCAUGGAGCUGCUGGCACUCCACCCACUUACAGGAACCUUUAGGAUUAUAUCACAUUCACCAGAUCAUCCGUGUCAUCUCCUAUGUCCUGGUCUUGACCCCAUUUGCAAACUCCCCUUUGACAUUUAACAGUUAGUGGGGAGGAUGUAGCUCGGGGGUAGAGCGUAUGCCUAGCACGCACAAAGUCCUGGGUUCCGUCCCUGGGCCUCCAUUACAUAAAGAAGUAAGUAACAAACAAACGUAAUUACCUCCCUCCAAAAAAUACUAGAAAAUAACUUUAAAUGGCAUUUAGAAAAAACAAAAAAAACAAAAAAAAACACCACCCAGCAUGUUACAGGUGCAAAGACAUGGCCGUUACUGGGGGGAGGGGGCAUUACUCAGCCCACCACAGUCGCGAUGCCUCCUGCCCGUGGGCGCACAAUUUUAUCUUCCUUUCCUCCCUUUAUGGGUUUCGUUUAUUCUCUUUCCCUUGUUUUACUGGCUGGAACUUCUAAUAUAAUGUCAGUAGCAGUGGUCAGGGUGGGCAUGCUUACCUUGUUCCUAAUCUCUGGGGAAAAGCAGCCAGCUUUUCAUCAUUACUUGUGUUUGCUGUAAUUUAUUUGCAGAUGUUCUUUAUUGAGUUGAGAGAGGCUCCCUCUCUUCCUCCUUUUCUGAAGUUUGUAUUAUAAAUAGUUGUUGAAUUUUUUUAAAUGUUUUCUCUACAUCAGUUGACAGGCCUCUCAGCCUGUUAACAGUGUGGAUGACACUGGUAUCUGAACAGCCUUCUCUCCCUCAGAUACGCCCCCUUGUUGGUGGGGCUGUAGCUCGUUGGUAGAGCACGUGCUUAGCAAGAGGUCAGGAGUUUGAGCAGCAUUCAGUUUUACAUGAGACCUGGUUUUGAGGUCCCACUACUGAUUUUUUAAGCCUCACUACAAAGUCAUCCUAUUCUGCCCCCGCCCCAAGAGCUCAGGUAUCCCCCAGUUUGCUGCGAGUGGGGAGCACAGGAGACAGUUAUGGGGGCCUCUCUCUGUGACUUGCUCACUGAACUCAAUCCAGCCAAUUCUCAAACGCCUUUAAACUGGACUUCAUGAUGUCCACAGUGGCUGGCACGUCUUCCCAGGAGCUACGACUUCUUGAUCUCCGUCCUGGUUGCCCAGGGUCGUUCAGUUUGCAACUUGCAUGUAUUCCUGCUAUGAGGCCUGUUCCAGGAGGUCCCUGUGCCUUUUAGCCCCAUUUGCUCACGUGUGCGUGGAGAGGAGGGAAAAUGAGGGACAUGGAGGGGAGCCGUGAGGGCUGCAGGAGGGACAUGGCAGCUGGUGUGUGCACCUGCCCCAAGCGUGGUUGUGGGGUCCAGGGCUGUGUGGGACUGCUGGAAAGGGAAGCCUUUCUGACAUCUGCAAAUGCACCUAUGGGUCGUUGCAGGCUGCGUGGAACAGUGUGUGGUGCCACAGCGUCUUAGCUCGAGUUCCCUGGGACACGACCUGAGCUGAGCCCACGGGGAGCUUAGGGUGCAGGAGGAUGGGUGCCUUGUCCUGAGUGGCCGGAUCUGGAGGGUGCCCCCCAGCAUGCAUUCUACGCAGUGACCUGUGUGAGGUCUUUGGAGGGCGAGAAUCAUUGUGCAGCCCAUGGAGUAGUUAGAGGGAAAAUCGGAGAGUUCAUUUUCUGGGAUGUCUUUGGUUAAGUUGCAGUGAAGAGCAUUUUGGAAGCUAUAAAAGAAAAGUUGGGAGGGUUUCCUUGGAAGAUGUUGAGGUCUCACUGGGGCAGGUGCAUCACUGGAGACACAUCUGUGUUAUUAGUAGAUGUUAGAGGUGACGGUGUGUGGCUGGUGUCACUGAAUGAAAACAUGGUGUCUUCUUCAGUCUGGUGGGUCCCUGGGUGUCUUCACGUGUAUUCCCUCGUGUGUGCGUUGUCAGGGCUUGCAGUGUUUCGUGGGACUGCACAGCAGGAUGGGCCGAUCAUUAUGGGGUGUCUGGGGAGUUUGUUGGGCCCCAUGAGUCUAAGUUUCUCUGAGUCCAGAAGGCAAACAGGUGGUUCUAACUGUCGAUGGCGAAAGGAUUUCUUAAGGGAUGUCCUGUCUGGGAUGGGUGUACGGGCACAACUUGAGAGGGGCCAUAAAAUUCCGGGAUGUAAGGAAAGAUGGUUCCAAGCACCAGUGGAUGGCCACUAUUACAGCGACCUGCAGUACAAAGGCUUAUUUUGGGGAAGAUAUAGCUGCUACUUUCCUGUUACCAACCCAGUGUGGUUCCUCUACUGUCCUUCCCCAUCUGUCCAAAAUACACCCAUGUGCGUGGCUGGUGGGAUGUACGUGGCUGGCAUAGGAUACAGCAUUCCCACUUUUUUUUUAAUUGCAGUAUCUUCAGUUUACAGUGUUGUCAGUUUCUGGUGUACAGCGUGAAGUUCAGUCACACACAUAUUUCUCUUCGUGCUGUUUUUCGAGGAGGAUGGCCAUGACCUUUUUUACGUGUACCUGUAGGUGGAAGCUAGUGACAAGGCCCCACAGUCCUGGUAAGUACCUUUGUGCUUUGCUCUAAGGGUCCUGGUGGCUGAUCGCCCUUCCUCCCCCACAUCACUUCAUGCUUGUGACCCCAGUGUAUGCAGGGCCGCCUCUGUGCAAGGCAGAAGGUUAUGUGACUCAAAUGAUAGGGUGGCUGUAUAUUUUAAACAAUGUGUCAUUUAUUCAUUCACUUAAAAUAUUUUUAUUGUUGACUUCAUUACACAUUUCUUUCAGAUUCUUUUCCAUCAGUUUUUUUUACAAGGUUGAAUAUACUUUCCUGUGUUACACAGUAGGUCCUUGUUAACAAGAUACGUAUUACUAUUAUAAAUAUUAUAAAAUAGAAACAAGGACCUACUGUAUAUAGCACAGGGAACUAUAUUCAAUUUUUUGUAAAAUGGAAACUGAAAAAGUAUGUGUGUAUAUAUAACUGAAUUCCUUUCCUGUAUGCCUGAAGCUAACAUUGAGAAUCAAUACUUCAAUUAAAAAAAAAAAAACAAGAAAUCUCCCUAGCACAAGCUAGGCAGAGGAGUGUGAGGACUUGGUAAGAGGGAAAGCCUGUGUGACGAUCACAGGCCACAGGAGGAGAAACACUGGCUCCUGAGUAGGUGGCGGUGGGCGGGGCUGGAGGUGAGGCAGCGCUUUAUCUCCAGAAGGGCCCGCAGGCGAUGCCUCAUGUUUCCACCUCAGACCCUGAGAGGGCGGCAGUCAGCUGAAAUAUGUGACUGGUGCCGAGGGGAGCGUAUUUGUUGUGCCUGCCAGUAAAAAUGCGCAGGUCUGGUUGGGGCAGACUGUGCACUGGAAGCAAGUCAGAAGGUUUUACUAAAAAUUCAAGUCAGAGCUGAUGAAUCUGAAUCAGAAAGAAAAAAGACAAGACAGGAUGUUGGGAUUUCUAGCAGGUAGAAUAUUCUCUAAUAGGUGAUGGUCCCAGUUAGCCUGCUGGGGAGACAGGGUUCUGGGUGGGCCCCCGCGUCCCCAUCCCGGGGGAGCUGGGGGCGGGGGUCAGUCCCUGAAAGAGCCAAUGGUGUGAUCUGCAAACCCAAAGACAAAAUGGACAACCCUUCGUCUCUAAGACACAACAAUUAAGAAACGUUUUUACUCGCUGUCAGGUAAAGCACGUGAAAAGUAUUAGGCGAGUGUCUUUUCCAGUUGGUACCUGUGCUCUGCUCUCCUCAGGCCCAGCUUCCCCACACCCGGAGCUCGGAGGUCGCUGGGGAAGUCCUGACCCUGCUCUGAGUUCAUCUCCUCUGUCCUUGUGACCUGAGAGGCUGCGUCCAGGUCUCCUGAGAACUGCUGUGCGGCAGGUACGGGUCAAAAACCCUCUGUCCUUGGUUCACACAGACACCCGUCAGCAUCUGCAGUCUUUACAACUUCGAACCUUUCUCUGACUCCCUUCCACGCCCACCCUCACCUGGUGGCAUCCUUCCUUGGGUUCUCUGACUCCCUUUCACGCCCACCCUCACCUGGUGGCAUCCUUCCUUGGGAGAAAAGGAAAGGAACUUGCCUCCAGGCUUCCCGCCAGAUGCUGCAACUUGCUGCCAGGAACCCGGACUCCUUUAAAGUCCGAGAGCUGCACCCACAUUUCCCCCACAAGGGACCCCAGGACAAGCGCAGGGGAAGAAACUUAGCUCUGACACUCGAGCUGCUUAUCUUGUACCAAUGUCAGACACAUCGCUACUGCUGUGUCUGGGCAUGUCGCCAGCUUUUCUCCAAUGUCACACAGGAAGGACAUACUUGAAGCACAGCUUUCUGGGCUUGUGUAUAUGCAUGAAUGUUCUCUCCGCUGUUAGGAUAAGCUCUACUAACAAAAUUAAAUACCCAGCUGACUUUCUCACCAGAAAAAGUAGACAUGGCAGUAACUCCUGGAUCAGACCUGAGCCCUCCAAGCUGUGCUGUUAGCACUGGGAGACAAGCCUGAACCACAAGUCCCUGAGGAAACUCUACAAAAGGUAAAAGCAGGGGUCCGGGCUGACAGGACACAGAAGGGCAGUCCAGGUGCCAGGGCUGCAGACUGACAGCAUGGAGGAGGGAAGGGAGACAAGGUUUCAAGCCACCGUUCUUCUAGGUCAGUUACUUUGAGGUCAGUUACUUUGACCUUGUCAGUCCCAGGAUGCCACACCUGUCCUGCUGUACAAACACCCAGGUCCGAGAGUAGCCUUUUGUACCAGAUGUGAGGAGGUAUGAGCCCACAUUCUUACUUUACUAACAGGUCUGGACUGAAAAGAUGCCUUUUUACUGCUGCUCCCUGAUGAGGCCUCGUCCCCGGGACUGUUUGCCUACAAAUGAGGUGAGGCAGAAACUAACAUAACAGUCCUGCCGGAUGGUCCUGCCGCAAGGAUGUGAAAAUGCCCCCACUAACUUUGGGGACGUCUCAGCCAGGGACCUAACAGCCCUUCCAUUGAACGUCUUGCUCCAGCAGGUAGGUGGUAUUGUGAUUGCCGGUAAAACAGGAAGCUUCAGACCAAAAUGCAGCCUCACCUGAAGUUUUCUGGCAGACCGGGGAUAAUUUCUUAACCAACUGUACGGUAUCUGGGACUUGAGUUAUCAAAGGGGCAAACUUACUGCUGGAUCUAAAAGAGGCAUCACCAGCGAGGAAGGGCAGAGCUCAGCGGUAGAGCGGGCGCCUAGCCUGUGGGGCUGAUCCCAGUACCGCCAUUAAAUGAAAGCAAGCGUUAGGACGCUGCACCGACCCCCCCCAAAGUCAGGUGUGGGGAUUUUUAGAAAAUGCUAGGUUUUGUUGCAUUUGGAUCCCUAACUUUGGACUCAGAGCCAGAGCCCUGUGUGAGGCUCUCAAAGGAAAUGACAACAAGCCCUGAAGAGGGGCUCUGGGCUGCCCUCCUGGGUUCCACACCAUCAAGGAGAAACCUGAGCAGCCUCGCACUUGGUCCGUCAGGUGUUAUGAAGCCACGUGACCUUGUGCAUGAAGCACAGGGCGGGCGUCCCGGAGGGCUAGCUCUAAGCUUAGGUGCAGUAGCCAGCAGGCUGCUUUUCCAAACAGACCUCGUAACUGAAGGACGGCUGGCCCUAGGCCAGCCUACCACUGCGCACGUCCGUGUGCCACCCUUCCUGGAACGGCAGGGCACGCACCAGGCCACGCUACUUAACAACCUGAGUGUAAAAGUAAAAGGUGAUAACCACUCUAAACCCAGUCACUCCCACAAGUGAACCUGUCCAUGGCUAUAUACAAAUGACUGACAAAGUCUAUUCUAGGGGACCUGACAAGAUGUGCAAAUGCUUACGGACAGGAGCAGCUUCAUGGACCAGGGACUCCGAAAGGCGGGGUGUGCGACAGCAACGCACCAGGACUUGGAGCAGGAGGCCUGCCUCCAGGUACGUCCGCCCAGAGGGUAGCGCUCACAGGAGCCCUGCACCUUGGAGCUAAGGAAAAGGUAACCAUUUGUAGAGAUUCUAAGGAUGCCUUCUCUGAAAUACAAGCACAUGGGACCACGUGGAGAGAGGUCUGCUAAUAGCAGGAAGGAACGUUAACACACAGAAGGAAGCAGCUGCGGGAAAUCAUUCCACUGGUCAGAGUGAGACAUCCAGACCCUAAGGCCCUAGCCCUCACCCCGGGCGCUGACCUGCCCCCACGUAGGCCUCCGUGUUCAGAGCGCAGACGCUCUGAUCAGUACCACCACCCAAAGAAGGCUGGCUUCACGGUGGAGACCAGCUGGUGCUUACAGCUGAGCAUUAAAGGGACAGAAUGAUCAAGGAGCCCGUUAGGGGAGGGAUGCAAGCUAGCAUUAGCUACAAAAAUGUACUACUGGUCCACAAAUGCCAAGGUUUGUCUCAAAGGUCAUACAGAAUUGCCUGAUCUGUGCCAGAAACAGUCCUCAAGCCUGGCCACCUCCAAUCAUAAAAGGGAUGCAAACCCGAGAGGCGGAACCAGGACCUACCGGCAGACAGACUUACUGUUGUGCCAAGGGCCGUGGGGGAACUGUAGACAUUGCUGGGGUCUGAAUGCCUUCAACAGGGUAGGCUGGGUGAAGCUUUUCCAUGCAGGGCAGAAAAGGGCUUCUGAGGUAGCGGGGGCCUUACUAGGAGAAAUCAUGUGUCUUUGUGGGUUGCCUCUUUCAAAUCAAAGUGCCAACAAAGGAGCUUUCAUAGCCAGGGUAACUCUGGGGAUAAAAGGGGAGUUACCGUGCUCCAUGGAGACCUCAGUCCGCAGCAAAGACUGAAAAGAUGAGUCAUUCCUUAAAAAAGAGAACCACCAAAAUAGGCCAGGAAACCAACCCAGUUUGGGAGAAGGCCUUGCCGGUUACCCUGCACAGGAUAAAAGCAGCCCCCUUAGGCAACGUUACACUGGAGAGCCUUCCUUAAGACUCAGCAUUGUUAGCACUGCAAAUCAGCUGUUUCAAUAAAAAAUUAAAACUUCAUAAAAAUGAAUAAAUAACAAUAUGUUCUUUAAGUAAAUACAGAACGAACAGCUCCCAUAGCACUUCAGGGAGCCGUGUAACCUGCAGCACACGGAGGAGGCCCUGCCUGCGCAGAAUGGGACUGCGGCCCAAAGAACAAAGGGCUGACUGUUCAGAAAUUAUUGGGGUGGGGGGUCUGGGCCACUGGCUCAUGACUUGAGAGGCUGAGAACCAGGGUGACGUGGACACCCAGUCAUCUUGUGAUGUUUGUGUACCAGGCACACCAAGAGGAAAGGUGGUCCUUACCCACAAGUUUAGGAUCAAGUGAGGGUUGUUAGAGGCACGUGGGAGCUUCUAUUUUAGGCCCCAUCAUCUGGGAGCUCCUGGGGCCAAUUUUGAGGUCCUGGAAGAUUCUCAAGAAAGGUGCUGCCUGUCCAUACACCCCUGGUUGCUGUGUGGACACAAAACAAGUCUGCAUUAAAAUUACUAAGGUGGGAUGGGGGAGUGUGCUUUCCAUGCACAAGGUCCUAGGUUCAAUCCCCAGUAUCUCCACUAACAAAGACAGGAAAAAAAAAAUCACUGAGGAAAACAAACCAUGGUUACCAAGGGGAAAGGGGUGGUGGGCAGGGCAGAAGCAGUGACUGGAAAGGAGCCUGGGUCAGACCCUCCCGGAGAGGCAGGAGGUGAAUGGCACUCACCUUGGGGACGUGGAUGCUGGCUCCCACCAUGGGGACACUGGACACCGGAGCUGGUAAGCACCACGUAAGAACCCUUCAUCUGGCUACCAGUGCAGCCCCGCCCACCAGCCUGCUCACCACCAGUCCUGUUACCCCAGGACUCCCGGCCCCUGCACAGCAGUGAGUGACAGGACCUCUAGAACCCUCAAGGCUCUGCAGCCGCGGGCCUUGGGUCCCAGGGCUCACAGGGGCCAGGACUAGCCCCGGGGCGCAGCACCAGCUUCAUGACCCCCAGGGCCCUGCGGUAAGAGGCCCUGGGUGCCCUGGGGCCCAGCCCUGCCACCCACCCUGGGAUGCCCGGAGUGCUGGCACCCUAGUGUGAGACCCUGGGACCCAGGUCCACACACCAGCCGCCACUACCACUCCCAGGAUUCCGUGGGCCACAGACCUGCCUACAAGGGGGCCUGCAGCAGAGCCAGACCCCUGCGCCUUGCAGGAAGAGACCCAUUUUUGGGUGUUUUUCCCAUCUUUGGAUUAGACCAAAGUCCAGAAAAUGGGGAGGGAACCGGGAGAGGCCCAGAGGUUAGGAUGAUGGAGGUGUCAGCUGUGGGCUGUUAGGGCUAAGAAUGAAGCGUCCGACGGAGUCAAGUCCCGAACGAGGAACGAGAAACCCCUUUGAACCAGCCGCCAUCACUCUUUCAGCCAAGCAACAAAACUGACAGGCGCCAGAGGGCAGAGGAUUGUAGAUCGUGGUAAAGCCUUUGCCUCUGCCUGUCUCUGGUGGAGCUGCGGCGCCACGGGAGGGUGGGAGAAUACAGUUCACGGGUUGAAGGACAGAGCGACACGCUGGGGAGAAAAAACAUCCUCUGCAAGUUCACAGGAAACAUGGGGAGGCUUUGGAGAAAAGGGAGCCUCCUACACUGUUCAUGGAAAUGCAGUCUGGUGCAGCCACUGGAGAACAGUAUGGCGAUUCCUCAAAAAGCUACAAAUAAACCAUAUGACCCAGCAACCCUGCUCCUGGGCAUGUAUCCAGAGGGAACUUUAAUUCAAAAAGAUACAUGUACCACAAGGUUCAUUUCAUAGCAGCACUAUUUACAAUAGCCUAGACAUGGAAACAGCCUAAAUGUCCAUCAGCAGAUGACUGGAUAAAGAAGCUAUGGUAUAUUUAUACAACAGAAUACUGCUCAGCCAUUAAAAAGAAUAAAACGAUGCCAUUUGCAGCAGCAUGGAUGGACCUGGAGAUUGUCAUUCUAUAUUUUAUUUACAAAACAGACAUACACUGUUGCCAACGAAAUGAAACAUGGAGUAGUUGUGGUGCAAAAUGUCUCCCAAGAUCCGGGUUCGUUUAUUUUUAUAUCCUUUACACAAAAGAGCAACCCUUGCCGAGCGCAGUGAGUAAGCAUUUUUUGAAUUGACGCAAGCGCACUACAUCUAAGACAUUCUUCUUAUUCAUUUCCUUAUCUUACAUUCAGACCCUCCUGUUCCCAGGCCUGUUCCUUUUGAGGAACUAGUAAACAUCCUUGUUUGCAAGCAAUGUUUCUCCCAGGAUCAGGCAGGAUCACUUGGCAGGAAAUUCUGUUUGCAGACAAGUCUGGCCACUUCUGUGAGAUGUCCCGCGUGCAGGCACACCCACGGUUUUCAUGCUAAAUCUCCUUCAUACACUUACAGAAAACAAACAUGGUUACCAGGGUGGGAAGGGAUACAUUGGGAGUUCAAGAUUUACAGAUACUAAUAUAUAUAUAUAAAACAUAAACAACAAAUUCAUACUGUAUUGCACAGGGAACUAUAUUCAGUAUCUUGUAGCAACUUAUGGUGAAAAAAUAUGAAAACGAAUAUAUGUACCUAUGUGACCGAAGCACUGUGCUGUACACCAGAAACUGACACAACACUGUAAACUGACUAGGCUUCCGUGGGUAACACUGAAAGGGAGUUAGCUUAGAAACAAUCUCUGAGAAACUUCUUCAUGAAUAGAUGGGCUCUCAUUUGCAGAGAACAGAUAAGAACUUGAGGGGAACAUUUCGUAGUCCCUCACAGCUCACUGUUUCAGGUUACAUAAAAGGGAAGAAAACUGAGUAUCAGACUAACUGGUUAAACUAGGUUUUGACUGCUAAAAGGGCACUGGCCUUACCACGUACCCAUAAGCACAGUGUGGAAGUGUUCACUGCCUACCAAAGAACUUUUCCAGUAUGUAAGAUAAAGAGGAGAAAGCACACAGGCCCUGAUCUAAACCAGAAACUAUGAAAGAUGGUAGUUUCUUUCAAUUAAAAAAAAACUGGUGUCAGGCUUAAAAUAUUCUACAGAACAGAGCAUAUUUACGUAAGAAUGACAUGAACUGAUUACAGGAAGCCACCAAAGCUCAUUUCAGAAGUUAAUAACUUUAUAGGAGAGAAACUGAAUUAACUAAGAUCUCAAGCUACAAAAAGAAGUAAAGAAACAAGAAAAAAGCAAAACUAUUACCAGGGGGGGAAAAAGCACUUUUAAUGUUCCUUUACAAAGGCCUCAUGUGGCAGAGUCGGUCACUUCCUGCCUCAGAUGUCCUUCCCUUGACCUUCGCCUCACAUCAAUGUCAGGGGAAGGGGGUGACUCACUACCGUUUGAUUCAAGGCACUGCCCUUGGCUGAACAGGGGUUGCAAAUGGGAGCUACCUUCUGAUACAAAUAAUUACAAAAUGCACAAGUCAGAGACCGGAGUUUUUCAGGUCUCAUGCUCAUCUGUAUAAUCAAUUUUAGAAAGUUUAAAUUUAUUAGAUUCCAAAACCACAAAUUAAUACAUCACAACUUGAUUAUCCACAAACAACUCAGCACUCAUCUGGAUCCAGGUGUCACCCCACUCCUGUGCUACGAGGUGCUUCCCUCUCAUUUGGCUUUUUCUAUCUCCCUGUUUCUUUGUCUGGCUCCCCUCCACUCUCCUGCCGCUUCUCCCUCUCCUCCGUCUCUCCCCGCACUCCUCUCCUGCCCCACUCUGCAGCCUGUUCCCCUCCUACUAUUCUUUCUCCCCUACUUUUCUCAAUGUCCCAAAUCUCCAUGCUUCCUGCCUUUUCUUCCAACUCUGCUCCUUCUGUGUGCUGCUCCCUCUGCUCCCCUGGUCUCCCCCUCCCCUCCAGCAUCCAGCUACUCUGAGGACCAGGGCUUCCACUCUUGACCCCUCCACGCACUCUCCGUGUGACGUGCCUCCCCACUGCUGGCCCUACUGUCACCAAGGGCUCCUCUCCCAUCCUCCCUUUAUCUCUGUACCUUCUUCUCCCCGCAGAUCCCGGUUUUCUGGACAUGCCUGUUUUACCCAUUUGCUACUUCCACUGCUGUUUCCCUUUCAUUCUUACCCUCUCUUUGCAAGACACCCGACCUCUACAGUGCCAUCUGAUCUCACCCACUCUUUCCCCCUUGGUUUUCUAAGUCACUGUGUUUCUCCUGAUCCCCCUGCCCACACUCAGAGGAGGCGAGAUGGAGUAAGCUGCUUGCCUCCUGAGAGAGCACUGAUGAAAUAAAAAUUCACAGUCUAAGGCAAGACAGGGAAAGUUUAAAGAUAAAACUUCCUCUGCCCACUUGGCUUCCUCCCUCCCCUCUGCGGUGCACUGUGCAGCUGCAUUAGGCGUUAACCAGACGUCCCCAGUGGCGGAAAUUCCUGCUCAACCAUAAAGAUCAAUUUCUCUUCCUUUGGCACCAGCCAUGUAACUUUAAAAGAUAACAUUCUCAGUCCUCUAAGGGGUCAGCAUGAGACAGGAGGUGGGCAGGGCACAAAUGUUAAAAGAAUGAGGAGGGGGACAAAGCCAUUUAGAAAAGCAGGAUUUGACAAGAAAAUGGACAGAUCCCAAGAUGGCAGAAGGUUUGACUUCCAGGAGACCCUGAGCUCCGUUACACACUGAGUGGUAAUACACCAGCAUGUUAAUGACACCCACCAGCACCACCACAGUUCCAAGGUGACCACAGAUGGACAAACAGUGGGCGGUGGCCCAAUUCCUGGAAACCCCUAUCCCUUCUUAAAAACAGAAUCGUCCUCCCACUUGUUUGCUAAGAAAUCACCCAGCCCAUAAAAACUAACCGCUUCCACACCCCGGGGCCACUCUCACUUUUUGAGAAGGUGUGCGUUCUGGAACGUGUAUCUCUCUAAAUAAACUUGUGCUCACUUUACUUUGGCUCACUCUUGAAUUCCUUCCUGUGAGACACCACAGACCCUCCCUUGGGGCUCUGUCUAGGGGCUCCCUAGCGAGCGUCCUGGGGCAUCUCCAGCAAUGACCCACCACUCGCCCAUGUGCUUGGUGAACUCUGCACAGUGACAAGGUAUCAUUUCCCUUAAGGAUAACAGCUGAUGCAGCAGAACAGACUCUCCAGCCGACCCGGGAGACCCUGGGCCACGCCUAAUGGAAGCUCUCAGUUAAGUACUCACUGGGGCCUUGUUACUGUCACUAGCUGUCCCACUUGUAUUCUGCCUGUUCUAUGAGUCAUUGUUUCUUGCACUACCGAAUGUGUGUCUGAGCCUCAGAUAAAAUUGGUGGUGAUCUGGCAACUUGAAACAACUGACCAAAUACACAGUCCUAUCUAUGAGAUCUAUGACUGUAACAGUGUAACUGUAAAUACGGAAAGAAGCAACAAGAGGGGACCAGUUCCUGGCCCAUAACAGGCUGGUCAGACAGACGGUCCGAGGCUUUCGGCUCCAGGCGGCAGGGCCUAGUCCAGCCACAGCAGGCUGACGGCCUAGCCACGAAAUCUCCUCGCCAGGCCUGGGAACGAGCAUUCCUAGCGCUGUGGGGCAAAUUGGCCACAAAAUGCCUCCCAAACCUCAGCUGAAAUUAAGACCAAAAGGGAAGGAAGGGAUGGUAAAAUAAAGAACGUUGCCCAUCACCCAGUUCUACAAGAAUCAGGUCGUUAGCCACUGCAGCCCCUGACCUACAGCACACAGCCUGGAAGGAAUUCAGGGUGAAUAUCAGGAUGAGGCGCUCUCUGCUCCGGGAAAACCGGCAGGACAGGCCCUUCAGACAAAUAUUCACAGGAGAAAUUUGUAUGAACCUGGAUUCUUGCAUCUUCCCACACUUAGAAAAGCACUAUGCCGUUCACUGAGACAUCUGUUCCUUGAGAACAGUUGUUAUCUUCUACCAACAUGUGUGCUUGAUUGCACGCACCCCUUUGCCAAAACCAUUUAUACAGUGGCCCCCACCCCUGCCUCUUCAGAACAGUUCUCAGAGCUGAGAGGCUGUCUCCUGGGCUAUAAUCCUCAGGUUGGCAGGAAUAAAUUUUUCAUUUCUUAGAUUGACUAUUAAUUUUUUUCACUGACUGCACAUUUUCCAGCAGGGUGGAAUUUGGGAUGGAAGAACACGGUGUCACACAGCUGGCCCAGGUCACCUCCUCUACUCAGGUGAGGGUGAGACAGACUGGGACUUGGGACCUGGAACCCUUUUUUGUGUGCACCUGGACAAAUGGCUCCUGGAGCAACAGAAUACAAAGAAACUAAUGGGACUAAAAAUAAAAGAGUGUGUGUGGGCAGCUGGAGCAACCCUGAACAACAGGAUACAAAAAGACCAAAACCCAACUGCCACUCCUGAGGUGCUGGGAGCAAACAACAGCAGGGCACUGUGCAUGGUCCCUGCACACAGCUCCACCACUGGGGGGUGGGGGUGGGCAGACCGCCUAAGCCACCAUUCCAGGCCGAACCCUGGACCUGCUCCCACCCUCACCCCAUUUAAGGGACCAGCUCGCCAUCACUGAAGGAGUCACAAAACGGCUUCCCUGCUGCUAAGACAGCUCUGUAGAGUUUACUGUGAUUGACUUGUUUUCUCCCAGUCUUUUCCCAGUUUUCUCUCCUAGCCUGUGCUACUCCUCGCUACUACUGUUUGACUUGGUUGAGUGACUACACGCUUAGCAACCCCGACCCUGUGAUUCAUGCCUUACCCUAAAUUACCUGCAUCCAAAACCCAGGAGCUACUCUCCAGAAAGGUCACGGAACAAUAACACUGAAGGAACCGCCAGAUCCUCCAAAGCCCAGCCCCCACCCCACGACGCUGGAGAGAUCAGACCUGGUAGGUAACACCACGGCAGCGCCCGGCUUGAAGGGCCACCAGAAACUUCACUUCUAUUGUUUGUUAUCACUGACGUGCUCCAUCCUGUUUGCCUGUAUUAUCACCAAGCCCCAAGCCAGGAGGGAUUCAGUUUCCACGCCGUUAGCCCGCUGUGACUCCCUUUGCCUGGCAAAGCAGUAAGACGGCUCUCUUCUCUGCUCGCAACUGCCUGAGUUUGAAUUCGCUUUUGGGGAUGCAAAGGCUGAUUUUUCGAGCAACAGAUUUCAUGACCAGGAAGGGACUCGAGGUCCCCCACUUUUCAAAGGAGGGGAUCUCUGCCUGAGCCCUCUGGGCCUGCCGCCCGGGCAGCUGACGCUCUGGGACAGGGGCAGAUGCAGCCCCAGCAGCUGCCAGGCCCCUUGGCUCAGGGGACUUCUUCCUCCUUCUCUCCGGCCUGGCCGGGACCUCUGACUGCUGAGCGCCCUUCGGAGACUCCCCGACUAGACUCUGGAACUACAACAAACAAUCCUAAAAUUUAUAUGGAAUUACAAAAGACCCAGAAUUGCCAAAGCAAUAUUGAAGAAAAAAAACCAUGCUGGC